rnacentral:rRNA from 1 species
CUGCAGCUCAAGUGGUGACCGCUAUUAUUGGGCCUAAAACGUUCGUAGCCGGUUUGGUAAAUGUUUGGGUAAAUCGUGUAGCUUAACUAUACGAAUUCCGGAUAGACUGCCAAACUUGAGACCGGGAGAAGCUAGAGGUACUCCUGGGGUAGAGGUGAAAUUCUGUAAUCCUAGGGGGACCACCAGUGGCGAAGGCGUCUAGCUAGAACGGGCCUGACGGUGAGGAACGAAGCCCUGGGGCGCAAACCGGAUUAGAUACCCGAGUAGUCC